ensembl:lncRNA
ACUGGUUGUGGUGAUGUUGUAUUGACUGGGUGUAGUGAUGUUGUAUUGACUGGGUGUAGUGAUGUUGUAUUGACUGGUUGUAAUGACUGGUUGCAGUGAUGUUGUAGUGACUGGUCGUAGUGAUCUUGUAAUGACUGGGUGUAGUGAUGUUGUGGUGACUGGUCGUAGUGACUGGUCGUAGUGAUGUUGUAGUGAUUGGUCGUAGUGAUCUUGUAAUGACUGGGUGUAGUGAUGUUGUGGUGACUGGUCGUAGUGACUGGUCGUAGUGAUGUUGUAGUGACUGGUCGUCGUGAUCUUGUAAUGACUGGGUGUAGUGAUGUUGUGGUGACUGGUCGUAGUGAAGUUGUGGUGACUGGUCGUAGUGAUCUUGUAAUGACUGGGUGUAGUGAUGUCGUAGUGAUCUUGUAGUGACUGGUCGUAGUGAUGUUGUGGUGACUGGGUGUAGUGAUGUUGUGGUGACUGGUCGUAGUGAUGUUGUAGUGACUGGUCGUAAUGAUGUUGUAGUGAUGUUGUAGUGACU